AACGAACGCUGGCGGCGUGCCUAACACAUGCAAGUCGAACGAGAAAGGGGCUUCGGCUCCGAGUAAAGUGGCGCACGGGUGAGUAACACGUGGGUAACCUGCCUCUAAGAUUGGGAUAACUCGUCGAAAGAUGAGCUAAUACCGAAUAAGACCACAGUUCCCGCGGGAACAGGGGUCAAAGGUAGCCUCUGCUUGCAAGCUAUCACUUAGAGUUGGGCCUGCGCACCAUUAGCUAGUUGGUAGGGUAACGGCCUACCAAGGCAAAGAUGGUUAGCUGGUCUGAGAGGAUGAUCAGCCACACUGGAACGGAGACACGGUCCAGACUCCUACGGGAGGCAGCAGGGGGGAAUAGUGCGGAAUGGGCGAGAGGUUGAAGAAGCAACGCCGCGGGAGGGAUGAAGGCCUUCGGGUCGGAAAGCACGGUCGGGAGGAACGAAUGCUCCUGAGGUUAACAGCCUCGGGAGGUGACGGUACCUUCAAAGGAAGCACCGGCUAACUCUGUG
rnacentral:rRNA from 1 species